rnacentral:rRNA from 1 species
UACAGAGGUCCCAAGCGUUGUUCGGAUUCACUGGGCGUAAAGGGUGCGUAGGCGGGCUGCCGCGUCCGGGGUGAAAUCCUCCCGCUCAACGGGAGAACGGCCUCGGAUACGGGCGGCCUCGAGGGGGGUAGGGGCAUCUGGAACUGUGAGUGGAGCGGUGAAAUGCGUUGAUAUUCACAGGAACUCCGGUGGCGAAGGCGAGGUGCUGGACCCCAUCUGACGCUGAGGCGCGAAAGCCAGGGGAGCGAACGGG